rnacentral:misc_RNA from 1 species
UGUGGGAGCGAGCCUGCUCGCGAAGGUGUUUCAGUCGACAUCAAUGUUGCUGACAUACCUUCGCGAGCAGGCUCGCUCCCACA